UCAACCGUGGAGGGUCAUUGGAAACUGGGAAACUUGAGUGCAGAAGAGGAGAGUGGAAUUCCAUGUGUAGCGGUGAAAUGCGCAGAGAUAUGGAGGAACACCAGUGGCGAAGGCGGCUCUCUGGUCUGUAACUGACGCUGAUGUGCGAAAGCGUGGGGAUCAAACAGGAUUAGAUACCNUGGUAGUCCACGCCGUAAACGAUGAGUGCUAAGUGUUAGGGGGUUUCCGCCCCUUAGUGCUGCAGCUAACGCAUUAAGCACUCCGCCUGGGGAGUACGACCGCAAGGUUGAAACUCAAAGGAAUUGACGGGGACCCGCACAAGCGGUGGAGCAUGUGGUUUAAUUNGAAGCAACGCGAAGAACCUUACCAAAUCUUGACAUCCUUUGACCGCUCUAGAGAUAGAGUCUUCCCCUUCGGGGGACAAAGUGACAGGUGGUGCAUGGUUGUCGUCAGCUCGUGUCGUGAGAUGUUGGGUUAAGUCCCGCAACGAGCGCAACCCUUAAGCUUAGUUGCCAUCAUUAAGUUGGGCACUCUAGGUUGACUGCCGGUGACAAACCGGAGGAAGGUGGGGAUGACGUCAAAUCAUCAUGCCCCUUAUGAUUUGGGCUACACACGUGCUACAAUGGAUAAUACAAAGGGCAGCGAAUCCGCGAGGCCAAGCAAAUCCCAUAAAAUUAUUCUCAGUUCGGAUUGUAGUCUGCAACUCGACUACAUGAAGCUGGAAUCGCUAGUAAUCGUAGAUCAGCAUGCUACGGUGAAUACGUUCCCGGGUCUUGUACACACCGCCCGUCACACCACGAGAGUUUGUAACACCCGAAGCCGGUGGAGU
rnacentral:rRNA from 1 species